GUCUGGCUGUCGGUCAGGGUUCAUAUACUUUCGACUUUAUGUUCCAAAUUAAUUGACCAAACCUAACUUUUACAUUUGUCAGUUUCUAAGGUACUGUGAGGAUCGGAACACAUAUAAUUGGUGUACGGUGUUUGUAGAGAUCUGUAUGGCAUGGUUCAUCUGACCUUGACCUCUUUUUAUGAACCAUUGACAAUCUUAAGCGUAUUUGACAAUUCUAAUAAAACCCUUUAUAUUACAGACGUUGAACAAAUCUACUAUCAUAAGUUAAGCAGACGAGACAUGUCAGCAUUUGCGCUCUGGUAUUCUUUAGUCUGUAGUAUAUAGCUGUCUCAUUGGAAAUC
rnacentral:lncRNA from 1 species